rnacentral:rRNA from 1 species
CCUACGGGAGGCAGCAGUGAGGAAUAUUGGUCAAUGGGCGGGAGCCUGAACCAGCCAAGUCGCGUGAGGGAAGACGGUCCUAUGGAUUGUAAACCUCUUUAGGCGGGGAGCAAGGCCGGGCACGUGUGCCCGGAGGGAGAGAACCCGCAGAAGAAGCAGCGGCGAACUCCGUGCCAGCAGCCGCGGUAAUACGGAGGAUCCGAGCGUUAGCCGGAUUUCUUGGGUUUAAAGGGAGCGUAGGUGGCUUGUUAAGUCAGUGGUGAAAGUUUGCGGCUCAACCGUAAAAUGGCAGUUGAAACUGGCAGUCUUGAGUACAGUAGCGGUGGGCGGAAUUCGUGGUGUCGCGGU